GACCUUAAGUUAUUCACCCACCUUAGCCCUCCAAAGUUCUGGGAUUAUAGGCGUGAGCCACCACGCCCAGCCAAAACAAAGGUCUUAACACUGUCAAAAGUUGGGUGAACCGAAGGAAGCCUCCACUGGCCCCACAAUGUUAAAGGGCCCCAAACCAGUUUUCUGUAUUUAUCCCAGAUUGGAUAAAUUAAAAAAAAAAACAUCAAAGGGCAAAGAUUGCAAUGAGUAAGCUGAGGGCAAUGCUGAUGCCGGUAAGUCCAGAUUAAAGGUUGACAAGAGAGACCCUUGGCUCAACCCCUGCUGGGAACCUAAAUCUUUUUUACAAGAGAGGGAAAAAUGGCCUGGGGGGGUUGAAAAAAGAAGUUUCUGGUGCUGUUACAGGUGUAAUUAGACACUCAUGAGCAGGGGUAGGAGAGAGCUCUUCUCCCACCCGCUAGGAAUGUGGUUUGACAUCACCACAGGUGAUGGUUUGACAGUGAUCACACUGCCUCUCUAAAAGGGCUAAAUUGGCAGCCGGCACCAGCGAGAGGCCAUUUCCUGAUGGCCUACACCUGUUGCACUACCGUGUUCAUUGAAUGCCGGCGCCAGGGAGAAGCAACUUCCCGGCCGUGUGCAUUAAGGGACAAAAUGGCGGAAUGUGACCUUCCGGGGCACACUACAGGAAAAGGGAAGAAAGCCUCAGAGGGGCAUGCAUACAACUUCCUAAUCACACUGUGUGUGCUCACCUCCCAAAGGUAAGGAGGGCACUGUGCAUGCGGGCAGCCCACCCGAAGGGAAGAACCAUGGGAAAGGGGCCAGCCUGGAAAGUCCUAGGAUCACGGUUAAAUACUGCAUUUGACCUUCAUGUCAGGACCAUGAAGAGACCCACUUGGGUCUCUUCCAAGCAUACGUUCCUUUCUUUCUUGUUCUAAAGCCCUUUAAAAGAAACUUCCAUUCCUGCUCUGAAAGUUGCCUUGGUCUCUUUUUCUGCCUUAUGCCCCUCAGUCAAAUUCGUUCCUCUGAGGAGGCAAGACUUGAGGUUGCUGCAAACCUGUACAGAUUCGCCGUCAGUAACUUGGAUACCUUCCACUGGUGACAUAUCCGGCACCAUGAGACUCGGAUAUUUUCCACCCCUAACAUACUUGGUGGCAUGACUUAGAUACGUUCCCUGGUGGUGAGAGAGCUCUGUGCCUCACCUUCUUUGGCUGGAGGCAUCCGACCCCGGUGCAUGGUUUUCCUUCUCACUCUCUCUCCUGCUCACUAACCAAACCCCAGAACAAUUCCUCUUGGCCAUUAGUGACUCUGCUCCCCUUGGCUGAUAGCUCACUCUGAUGGCUGGCUCGCAGGUGUGGGAAGGACUUUAGGGUCUGCACCAAGCAGAUUAGAGGCACUCAAUGACCCUCCUAGUGAGAGGCUAGUGAGAAUGGUGAGGCUAAGGCCUAAAAACCAGGCAAUAUCUGGGGUUUCCUUGACUUUUUCUUUUCAACUAAAAUUGGCUCUUUUCCCAAACUCUGCACCCCCCCCAUUCUCCUGUUUAUUCUCUGUGUGUUCUGAAAUGGCCUUCAGCACUCACUGGAUGUUCCACCUUGGGGGCAAGCCUGACUCUUUGCUUUCACUUUGCCUGCUAUGUGACUUCUAAACACUCCCUGUUACCUGCGUGCCCACGGCUCUCUGCGUUUGUGCAGCAGUGAAGACAGGGGCUCCCUUGCAGAUAUCCUGAGGUUUACAUUUGUUUCUCCCAGCUCGAAUGACCUUCAGUCCUUCCCCUGCCUGCUGGCACACGGCUGGGACAGAUGCUAAUUGGAACUCUGGCUCUGCCAGCUUCUUACAACUCACCGUGUGCUUUUCGUUCCUGUUAUGCCCCAGGACUAGGUUUUUGGAUGGCUUUUAAAAGCAGCUUGUCCACCUGCAUAGGGCUUUGCUCUGGCCCUUUUAGGAUCUCACCCUCUUGCCUUGUAAGCUAGCACCACUUUGGGAGGAGGAGAAAUUCUUCCCCCAAGCCCCAAGUCCUCCGGAAGUUAAUGCUUUAUGUCCACAGGGCGAAUAAUCGUUGCCUUCUUGAAUGCAAGGGCUGCUGUUUUUCUGAGCAUAUGAAGGCAUUCCAUGAGUAUUCCUCCCGCUUCCUUCCACUUCCUCCCAUAGCCUCCAUUUCUCUAAUUACUUACACACCCUUCUCAAUGUGCAUCAAGACCUUCAAGGUUGUAUUCCAAGGGAAGGGGGAGGAAGUCCAGUCCCUAUGGCAGUUAAUGGAGAAACAGGCUUCUAAGAAAAGAGAUAAUCAUUAUAUUACUAGAAUCCUCUGAGUAAGGGUCACUAUAAUGUCAUGGGGACAGAAAUACAGGCUGGCCCAAGGCCGAAGAGGCAAGAGAUCCACAGGACAGAGAUGAAGGGGGGUCCCAGGCUAACAGAUUACCAUUGGAACAGAGAUGAAAGGCUAGGGCAUACAUAGUGAGGACCAGUACAUUCCGGAAUCCCAGGGAUGGACAGGGGCCCACUGUUCACUCCAACAUCUCCUCUGUUCUCAAGUGGGUAAUUGUGAUGAGAUGGGACGAUGGGUACAUGGUAAGGACUGGUCAAGUCCAGAACCCAAGAUGAUGAGGGAUGCCCCAUUUUGGAUGAUAAGAAGAAAGGAGAGAUGCUUCUUUUUCCUUUUGUCCUCUUUUUUCUCCUCUGUCUUCUGUUUGCACACAGCAGAUGGGCAAUCAUGUCUACAUACCACAGGACAUGCCCCUCGGAUACAUCCCCCCCAAACUUGGAAAAGUUUAAUUUCCCCAAACCUUAAAAAACUAAUUCUCCUUUGUAAUACUGUUUGGCUUAAAAAUGAACUGGGAGGAAAUUACAAAAGUCAGCCUUGGAACCCAGUACCUGUGUGUAAGAGGUCCUCGGAUUAGCCUCUUAAGUCUUUUAUAACCGAGAGUAGAGUAAGGAGGACAGGACUAAGCCUGGUGGGUGGGACAAAUGGCAUCCCCUCCCUCCAAAAGAAAAAAUUCACACUUUAUAUUAUUUAAGGACCAAUUACCAUUCUUCCACUGGUCCCUGGUAAUAUCUGGAUACCCCACACCUCUUUGGGGCAAAAAUAUACUCUCUAAGAUUGGUGCUCGCUUAAUAUUCACCCAACCUCUGAAUUCACCUUUCUCUCUAAUAGCCCUAUUUAUCCCGGGAAAGCUACCUAAAUCAUUAACCAAAAGCUUCAACCUGGACAGUCCUACCUCAGAGGUAUACAAAUAGCCCACACUUACUUGAACAAGCCCUAGCAUAAAUCUAACCAAGUAAUCUCUUGAUGGGGGAUAACUUCUACAGUAUGCCCACAACCUCCUCAUCUGCUGUCCCUUCACAGGAUGCCAGGGUCACUAGGGCUGCCCAGGGAAAGGGAACCUAGAAGCCUGUCCUGCCAGCAAAAGGGUAAAAAUUCUUGCCAGCCAGCCUCCUGACUUCCCUCUCUGUGCAAACUGAUUGUAGGAAUGGUAAAAAUCACUGUAUUCUCUGCCCCCGCAUGACCAACUUCUGACUUGACUUCCUGAAUUUUCCUUUCUUGGAGCUACCUUUGUAGACUCUAAAUCUUGUAAAAACUGCUUACCACCUUGCUGAAAAUACCUCAUACACUCGUGGCUAAGUCAUAACCUUAGUUAAGGCUUAUUGGUUUCACCUGUGAGGUUACUUUUGGCAAAGUUCAAAAGCCAGAAAUAUUGGCCGUUCUUAUUACCUGGCUAAAGUUGGGUAAUAAGAGACUUAAAGGUUUUGUUUUAAGAGCAUUACGGUUAAAAUGGGCUUAAUUAAAAGCAGAUAUCCAAGCUAUACAUAUAUUUAAAAGGCCUUUGUUUUUUUUUCUCUUCUUGAAUCUUAUUUUUUUUCUGGAAAAAAAAAAAAAGGUUUUUUCUUCUCAGUCAACUGAUUGUUUUUCUCCAUUUUGUCUUCUUGCCACUCUUGAUGCACACGUGAGAGUACUCAAGAUAAUUUCUAACAGCUUGGGUCUCCUUGGGAAAAACAGAGGAGGUGCCACAGACCCCCCUUUUGGGAAAAACCUCUGUUUUCCUCAUGGAACCCCAGGAAUUGGAAGUGGAUAGAUCCCUCUCAAAACCUGAGGCUCUGUUUUCUUUGCAUUGUGUUACCUGAUGUUUUUUGACUUUUGGCAGUAGCAGAAAUUACUUCACAUUAUGAGAGAACUUUGGUAAUAACUAGGUAGCUAAUAGAAUUUUAUGGAUGGCUAAUGGCAGUUUUGGGGGGAAUACUCAGCUCUUUGACGUUUGGAUUAGAUAAGCAUGCUCUCAGCCACCUGGAAGAUAUGGAAACGUCCCCCCUCCUCCACUGAGAGAUAAAACCUCUAUAGGAAAUGGGCUGAUUCCCUCUUUCUUGGGAUCCAGGAUCUGGUAUAAAAUGGGACUCCUAAUUUUGGGGAGCUGUUUUUGCCUUCCAGGUGCGCCUGUUUAUUAGGCACUGGAAGCUGCAUGCUUUCCCAGCCCUGUUUCUGGAAGAGCUCCACCCUGGAGCCAGUAAUCCAAUUAAGAAACUUAAAAACUACUGGCAAAUAAAAAAUCUUACAACUACUGAAUCUUCUGUUUGUCCAUGUAUUUAUAUGUGUUGUGUGUGUGAUGUUUAUGUAAAAGAACUCUAAUUGGUUUAAAAAAUAAGGACUUAAAUAUUGUCAGAAAAAUAAAACUAAUGCCUCUUAGUUCUUGUAACUUAAAUAAUCUUUGGGGAAUAAAGACAGUUUUAAAGAUUAUUGGUAAAAUAAAAAUAUCUUCAAAAAUUUAGACAUUUGGUCUAAAAUUAUGCAAGUCAGAUAUUAGGUUUGCUAAAUGUUUUAAGGUCAUAAACUGUGUCUUUGGAUUUUGAAAAUUGUUUAGCCUGAUUUACAGCUAGGUAAGGCUUGGGGACAGGUGGAGUUAGCCACACCCCUAGCUAUGCUGGAAAGAAUCAGAUCUUAUCUACACUUCUCUCUGGUGUCCUAGGCUCCAAACCUAUUACAUAAUUAAAAUUACUAACCAGGCUUUUUACCAAAAGUUGCUAAGAGUUCUUUCUUUGGUCUGUAUUUGUGUAAAUAUGUCAUUGGUAUGUUUUCCAAAAUUAUGGAAUUCUGAUAUAACUUAGUGUAUAUUAUUAAUAAUUAGAAUUGUUAUCUAAAAUUGUUGUGUGCCACAGAGGUAACACAUUUUCUUGUCAAUUGUGUCUUUAACUGUGGGUGCCCUAAGACUUUUUGUCAUCCACAAUUAUUGUCUUAUUUUAAUCCUCUUUAAAUGUUGGUUUUAUAAUCAGCUACAGAACUCUAAUAGGUGUUCUUAAAUGCAAGUUUCUGAUAACUUUGGAGAUUGUGACAUUAGAAUAAAGCAAAAAAACCUUUCAGGACUCUAAUGGAGAGGUAAAAUAUUCAUGAAUAUCAAACAGAACAGGAGUUAAUGGAAUGGAUUGAACUAAUAGAAGACUGAAGUAAUCCUUUUUGACUUUUUAACUUAAAAUGUCACUAAUCUUUGUGCUUUUUCAGAGCCAAAAAAAUCUUUUGAGCUAUUUACAGCUUUUAACAAUUGAGUAAAAUACUUAUGUGAAAAAACUUGGAGCCUAUUUGAUUCUCUCUACCUAAUUUCUCUAGAAUUUGGGAACUAUUUGUGAGUAUUCUAAACUUAUGGUAAUAUAGUUAUUUACGUAAGUGCAAUAAGAAUGGUGUUUUUUGUUUGUUUUUGUUUUCUAUUUUUUGGUUUUUUUUGGCAAGAGGAUGCAGUUGGAGAAACUGGUUAUUUUACCAAGGCUUUGACUGGAAUGGCAUGCUUUCCUUUAAGGAAUCAAACCUGACUUGUAGAGCCAAUAAAAUCCCCUUGGGAAAACUGGCCUCAUACCUUGUCUACACACUCCCUGUACAGAUUUCCUAACCUGCAAUGAGUAAAGAAUGUCACUUUCUAACAGGCUCAGGAGCCCCAAGUUAUUUUGGAACCUCAAGAGGAGAGAAAAUUUCCCAACUCACAGGUAUUUGAGGGUACAAAAUCAUAGCUGGGCUUGGCUUUAAAAAAGUCUUAUCUGAGAUUCCUUAUGAAACAGAGUUCCAUCAAAGCCAAUUUGAAAAGCUUAUGUGAAACAUGAUUAUUCUUGCUGUGCUAUAUGCAAGUAAUCAGGUCAAGAAUAAUAAGACUGAAGUUUAUUCUGCAAACAAAUUAGUCCUGUCAUAUUUGUUUUCAACAAAAAUGAGGACUACAGAGAGAAAAAUUAUGUUUCAAAAAUUAUAGUACCUACUAUUAGAUUCUAGUCUAAUAGUACCUACUAUCAGAUUAUAGUCUCCUCAGUUGUUUCUAAGUUUUGUCUGCAUUUUAUACUAACCCUGCUUAUUCCCAUGAGCCAACCAGUGACCUCUGCCUGCAGCUAAGAAGAAACAAAAGGGAUUGGCCAUCAAGCUCCAGAUGAUCCUCAGUGAGUGAUAUCAUCCUCUCAAUAUUCAAGAGAUUCCUUUCUACAUAGGACCCCUAGACUGCCAUCAGUGAGGCAGGAAGGAGGCAAAAUCCUGCCCCUGUCUGCCUUGGACUUGGAUAGACACUGCUUUCACCAAUCCUUGGAGUCACCCUCCUACCCUGUCAGCUAGCAAGAGGCCAAGACCCAGAGAACCACCACUGCCCCUUUGUCAGUGGGAAGCAGUCACAGAAGACUGACCUUCAUCCAUUUCUUGCAAAGAUUUGCAGUCUUGGGCUGUUGAGGGGGAAAAGGUGACAGUCACAAGUGGGGCAGGAGAGGGCUCUCCCCCAUCCCCUAGGAAUGUCAGGUGAUGGUCCAGCAAUUAUCACAUUGCGUGUCUGAAAUGGAUAAAUUGGCAGCUGGCACCAGGUAGAGUCCAUUUCCUGAUGCUCCACACCUGUUGCAGUAAAGUGUUCAUUGAAUGCAAGCACCAGGGAGAAGCAACUUCCUGGCCAUGUGCAUUAAGAGACAAAAUGGUGGACUGUGACCUUCAAGGGGCACACCACAGGAAAAGGGAAGAAAGUCUCAGAGGGGCAUGCCUACAACUUCCUCAUCACACUGUGUGUGCUUACCUCCCAAAGGUAAGGAGGGCACUGUGCAUGCGGGCAGCCCACCCAAAGGGAAGAACCAUGGGAAAGGGGCCAGCCUGGAAAGUCCUAGGAUCAUGGUUAAACACUGCACUUGACCUUCAUGUGUCCACUUGGGUCUCUUCCAAGUGUAUUUUUCUUUCUUUCCUGUUCUAAAGCCUUUUAAAAGAAACUUCCAUUCCUGCUCUGAAAGUUGCCUCAGUGUCUUUUUCUGCCUUGCGCCCCUCAGUCUAAUUCUUUCUUCUGAGGAGGCAAGAAUUGAUGUUGCUGCAGACCCGUAAGGAUUCACUGCUAGUAACUCGGAUACUUCUACUGGUAACAUAUUUGGUACCAUGAGACUCGGAUAUUUCCACCCCUGAUAGGACCACAGCAUACAAAAGAAAAGUUGAUAGGAUUGUGACUGACUCUGGAACUGCAUGAGGAGCUGCUGGAUUCAACAGUGACUGACGAACAGCUCUCACCUGAUGCACAAAGACCUGCUUGGCUUGCAGAUGGCAGCUCCAAGGCUGGCUUCUGCAGAAACAGAAGAUUCCUGGAGGAAGAGAGUGAACUUCAGCAAGUUGCACCAAGGAGAAUCCACAGCGGCAGCUGCCCUGCCAGGCACGGGAUCUCAGUCAAGGAAGCCUAGAGAGAGCUGGACAAGCUGGACAUCCCAAAGAGCAUGACACUGGCCCACCACAUUGAUUACAUUGCACUGGUCGGGUGCUAACCAAGAAGUGGCUAACACACUGCGAGUCUUGCCUGACUAGUAUGGAAAACCCUGAUCCUGGUGAAAUCGGCGAAAUCAGUGACCCUCUGUGGCCUGUGCUGCUGAACUUCCUUCCUGGACCUCCUCCAGGGUCUGGAAUGGCCUUCCCGAGAUCUGCAGGGUUCACUCCGUCACGCCCUUAUCCCGUCCUCGAAGACGACCAUCAAUACACAAUCAUACAGCCCCCGCUCCUGCCCCCGGACUGUUGACUGUUCCUUUGUUAGUCGUCUAUUGCUCCCCUCAGACGACUCCACGGGGCCGAUUUGGCUUUCCCUGUUUAUUACUGUGUGUGUCCCUGCGCUUAUUCUCAGGGCUUGGCGAUACGAGUGUGCUGAAUGAACGGACGAGCAAAUGAGUGCCGCUCUUCUACCAUCAGAUUUGGAAUCACGGCUCUGGAUUUGGGGAAAGCCAGGUGCGGAAGGCAGACAGGACAGAAGGCGCCUUGGAGCUGGCUUUCGGACAGGGGACAGGGCCCGAGCUGGGACUUACGGAACUUGGUCCCCCGUCGCUGACCCUGGGCAGCUCAGCUCCUUGUGUAUGAGGCGGAUCAGGAACUGCACCAAAACAAAGGUGAAAGAAGUUGGGGCUGCUCCCGCCAUCUGACAAGCAUGGCUGCAGGAGGGACACCAGGACACUGAUGACCAGUGGGAGGCCGGGCUCUGUAUAUCAUCUGCUUUAAUUCCCACAGCAGUCUUGUCACUGGGCGCCAUUAUCAUGCCCAUUUUAAAGCUGUGGAGCAGAGGUUACGAAACCCGCCCAAGGCACACAAGUGACAAUGACGGGCAGGAUCCAGAGCCAUGGAGCUCCAUGCUCCUGGCCUCUGUACCAUCCCAACCAAGACUGCAGACCAAAGGCUGUCCUGCUUCUGUUUCUGAUUUUUUCUAACCAGAGAGAGAAGGGGCUUUAGACUAUGCAUAUUUAGAAAAGAUGGGAAGACCCAAAUCUGUCUGAUAACUCAGGAAUGCACGGGAGAAAGUUCCACCAGUGUUUGGCCACAACCACAGAGAUCCGCAUUCAAGGUGGAUUGGACUAAAAAUAGGCCGACUUACCAGUAAGGCACAGGCAUCUGCAAACAUCAGCAUGUAAAACACAUUGCUCCAGCCGGACGGAGAGAGGAGCCCAGCCAGCAGGGGGCCCAGGGCUGCUCCUGAAAUCGGGCAAAUGGACACACAUGGUGCUGUUUAGAGAAAAUCCCAGCACAUGACCAGCAGUCACACAGAAUGGGGCUCAACACCUCACUCACAAUGAAAGGAACACAUACGGAACUACACUACCUCAUCCUGGCCUAUCAGACUGGGAGCAGGUAAAAGGUCUAGUAUAGGUUGAGCUUUCCAAAUCUGAAAAUCUGAAAUCCCAAAUGCUCCAGAAUUCUUAACUUUUUGAGUGCUGACACUCAAAGGAAAUGCUCACUGGGGCAUUUCAGAAUUGGGAUUUGAGAUGCUUAACUAGUAUAAUGCAAAUAUUCCACAAUCUGAAAAAAUAAAAAGACGUAACCACUUCUGGUCCCAAGCACUUCAGAUAAGGAUACUCCACCGGUACGCCUUACUACUGAGAAGGCAAAGCUGGCACAGCCUCUUCCCAGAACCAUCCUAAAAAUGUGUGUUGGCCUUGUAAUGUUCGUUCUUUUCAUCCAACACUCCCAUGAUGUUCCUGAAUACACUGUAAGGAAAUCUGAAUUCAAUGCACAAUCUUAGAUAUUCUUAUGCUAUACAAAUGUAACUGGGUAAAAUUGGAAUAAGAUUUGUAGAUACUAAUACUCUUCAAUGCUCACUUUCUAAUUCUGACCAUUGCACUGUGGUCUGUCAUGGAAUUCCUUGCUUUUAGGAAGUACAUGCUGAAUAGUUAUGCGUAAAGGGGCAACAUGUGUGCAUUUUACUCAAGUGGUUCAGAAAAAUUAUGCAUGUGUGUGCAUAUGUGUAAACAUACAUGAGGGGUGCAUGAUGAACCACAUGUACUAAAAUGUCUGAAUUCUUUGUACUAUUUCUGCAACUUUCUCAAAGUCUGAAAUUAUGUCAAAAUGUUUUUUUAAAUGAUGAAAACAAAAUAAAGUAUCCCCCUAAAUGCCCAGGGGCUGGCGUUUAAGAA